GAAGUUUUUUUCAGUUAGAAAGUUGGUUUGUUUUGUCUUAACAUUACAUGUGGAAAUCAAGUGUAAAUGAGAAGUUUUUGUCUUUGACUUUUAAAUAUAUAUAGAUUGUAUACAUUAACUUAAAGCCUUUAGAUUUUAUCUCGACAAGUAUGCAUGCUCUACAGAAAAUACGGGCGAUAACUUAGGAGGAAAAAUCACUAGAAGUCACGUCUCGAAUCACCCCAAGUAGUUAAGGUUUCAAACAAGAUAGGCUUUUGAUUCACCAAAUUCGCUCAAUAUUUAAGAACGUUCAUCAACGAAAAAUA
rnacentral:lncRNA from 1 species